rnacentral:rRNA from 1 species
CCUACGGGUGGCAGCAGUGAGGAAUAUUGGUCAAUGGCCGUAAGGCUGAACCAGCCAAGUCGCGUGAAGGAAGAAGGACCUAUGGUUUGUAAACCUCUUUUAUAGGGGAAUAAAGGUAUCCACGUGUGGAUAUUUGCAUGUACCCUAUGAAUAAGCAUCGGCUAACUCCGUGCCAGCAGCCGCGGUAAUACGGAGGAUGCGAGCGUUAUCCGGAUUUAUUGGGUUUAAAGGGUGCGUAGGUUGUGUUUUAAAGCAGCGGUGAAAAUUUGGGGCUCAACCCUAAAAUUGCCGUUGAAACUGGAAGACUUGAGUGUGUUAGAAGUAGGCGGAAUGCGUGGUGUAGCGGUGAAAUGCAUAGAUAGCACGCAGAACUCCGAUUGCGAAGGCAGCUUACUAGGCCAUAACUGACACUGAAGCACGAAAGCGUGGGGAUCAAACAGGAUUAGAUACCCGGGUAGUC